AUGAAACUACAAUGCAAGAUAUGUGAAAAAUUCAAGAACUGCUUCCUACUGAAAACUGACUUCAGUUUAAAUACCUGUAAUAAGAACACUUUGGAACAACUCAAAGCAUGUUUCACCCAUCUGACAAGGUAUUUAAAUUUCAGACAGUAUUUUAGUUCACAAAGUAAGCUUAUUUGUUCUUUUGGGGCUAAGAAGACAAUAAAAAAAAUGGAUAUAUAUUUUUAUAUUAUAAAUAAUUGGCUUAUUUUGCUUUUCUGACCAUUUACUGUGGGACUCGAGUGCAUUUGGUUCUAAUCUUUUGUCAAAAGAAGAGAGAGAUAGAUGUGAAAACCAUCAACAGGACUAUGCAAAGAUGUCAAAAAAUAUAUCUGUGUGAAACAGUAAGAUGCAUAAGAAAAAUCUUGGAUUUGUUUGUUUGUUUCAAAUACUCACUCCACCCCCCCACCCCCAUUUUCAAUUUAGAUAGCCAUAGGUUUUGCUUUUAAAUUUUAAAAAAAUUGAGUUCCAUACUUUUUUUUUCAGUUAGGAGCAAAAUUUAGUUAUGAAGUCAAGUAUCUCAGAUAUAAUCACAAUUAUUUAUAAACAAAUGACUGUGAGAUCUGAAUAACAGAAAUACAAUGACUGUUUUUUUGCUUUGGUUUGGUUUUUUUUCUCCUCUUGUUUCUCUUUCUGGCUUGUGGUAAUUCUUCACUGCCCUGCCUCCAAUUAAAGGAAGAAAGGGACUUGUAGAUGUGGUAAAGUUCCUAAUGUGGACAAAUUUACAGCUGGUGGAAGAGACUGUAUGACAGGUGGAGAGAACAAAAUCCAACUAUUUUGUAACUGAAUCUUUCAGGGCAUAACCUGACAUAAAUGCAUUGGAAUCAGUGUCUGAGUUAAAGACAGUCUCCUCCAAAACAGCUUUUAAAACAUAACCAGAAAUUAAACGGGCUCAUUUAAGGUCCUCAAAAAAUCUCAUUAGAGGGGAACCACCUGCUGUUGGGGGAAAUGUAAUUUCCUCCAGGAUUUUUUCUAUACCCUGGCUGACUGCUGGAGACUGAUAAAUCUGGAUCUCUGCACAAAAUGCAGGGAAACUUAAGCAGACAUGGAAAUGUGUCUAACUCCUCAGCAGGGCAAGUCAUAGCCUUCUUGCAAUCAUGCUUUACCACUAGCUGAAUCUAAUUUUCUGUUCACCAUCACCCUUGAAGAAAGCUUGGGAUGUUAGCUUUUCUACCUUUCCCCUGAAUGUAUAUAGUUCAGACUAGCUAUUAAAGCUAUAAUA
rnacentral:lncRNA from 1 species